rnacentral:rRNA from 1 species
GAUGAACGCUGGCGGCGUGCCUAAUACAUGCAAGUCGAGCGAACAGACGAUUAGCUUGCUCCUCUGACGUUAGCGGCGGACGGGUGAGUAACACGUGGAUAACCUACCUAUAAGACUGGGAUAACUUCGGGAAACCGGAGCUAAUACCGGAUAAUAUAUUGAACCGCAUGGUGCAAUAGUGAAAGACGGUUUUGCUGUCACUUAUAGAUGGAUCCGCGCCGCAUUAGCUAGUUGGUAAGGUAACGGCUUACCAAGGCAACGAUGCGUAGCCGACCUGAGAGGGUGAUCGGCCACACUGGAACUGAGACACGGUCCAGACUACUACGGGAGGCAGCAGUAGGGAAUCUUCCGCAAUGGGCGAAAGCCUGACGGAGCAACGCCGAGUGAGUGAUGAAGGUAUUCGGAUCGUAAAACUCUGUUAUUAGGGAAGAACAAAUGUGUAAGUAACUAUGCACGUCUUGACGGUACCUAAUCAGAAAGCCACGGCUAACUACGUG